GCCUCAGUAGCUCAGUGGUAGAGCAGCUGCCUUGUAAGCAGCAGGCCGAGGGUUCAAAUCCCUUCUGAGGCU
rnacentral:tRNA from 1 species